CACCCAACAGCUAGCUCUACCAAUAAAAUCCAACCCUCCCCCAAUAAAUUAACCCCUAACACACUACCAACCCAUAUAAUAAAGCAUUUUACCCUCCCAGUAUGGGCGACAGAAAAGAAAACAUUAGACGCAAUAGAAAAAGUACCGCAAGGGAACGCUGAAAGAGAAAUGAAACAACUCAACUAAGUAAAAAAAAGCAGAGAUUCACUCUCGUACCUUUUGCAUCAUGUUUUAGCAAGACAAACCAAGCAAAGAGCACUUUAGUUUGUUGCCCCGAAACUAAGUGAGCUACUCCAAGACAGCCUAUUUAAGGGCCAACCCGUCUCUGUGGCAAAAGAGUGGGAUGAGCUUCGAGUAGAGGUGAUAAACCUACCGAACUUAGUUAUAGCUGGUUGCCUAAAAAUUGAAUUUAAGUUCAGCCUCUCAGCUCCUCAACCCCCUCCCCCCGCUUUAUGCUCCCUCCCGGCGACAAAAAGAACUGAGAGAGUUAGUCAAAGGAGGUACAGCCCCUUUGACCAAAGACACAGCUUUACAAGACGGAUAAAGAUCCUACAUUACAAGGAAAAAUGUUACAGUGGGCCUAAAAGCAGCCAUCCGACCAGAAAGCGUUAAAGCUCAAACAUAUUACUUAUUUUCCUACAAUUCCGAUAACCCUAUCUUAAUCCCCUAUCACUAUUAGGCCGCUCCAUGCAAACAUGGAAGCGAUAAUGCUAAUAUGAGUAAUAAGAGAGCAUGCCUCUCUCCCUGCACGCGCGUAAACAUGGAACGGACCCCCCACCAAAUAUUACCCGGCCCCAAACGAAGAGGGCAGUGGACGACAACAGAAACAACUAGAAAACCACCCAAAACAUGAACCGUUAACCCCACACCGGUGUGCAAUUAAGGAAAGACUAAAAGAAAAAGAAGGAACUCGGCAAACACACAGCCUCGCCUGUUUACCAAAAACAUCGCCUCUUGCCAAAAUCAAAAUAUAAGAGGUCCCGCCUGCCCUGUGACAACAAGUUUAACGGCCGCGGUAUUCUGACCGUGCAAAGGUAGCGCAAUCACUUGUCUUUUAAAUGAAGACCCGUAUGAAUGGCAUGACGAGGGCUUAACUGUCUCCUUUUUCCAGUCAAUGAAAUUGAUCUCCCCGUGCAGAAGCGGGGAUAAACCCAUAAGACGAGAAGACCCUGUGGAGCUUUAGACACCAAAGCAGUCCUUGUUAAACACCCUAAGACAAAAGACAUAACCAUAAAGGACCCUGCCCUAAUGUCUUCGGUUGGGGUGACCAUGGGGAAUAAAAAACCCCUACGUGGAACGAGGGAACUCCCCCUCACAACCAAGAGUCACAACUCUAACUACUAGAACUUCUACCCAAAAGAUCCGGCAACGCCGAUCAACGAACCAAGUUACCCCAGGGAUAACAGCGCAAUCCCCUUCUAGAGCCCCUAUCGACAAGGGGGUUUACGACCUCGAUGUUGGAUCAGGACAUCCUAAUGGUGCAGUCGCUAUUAAGGGUUCGUUUGUUCAACGAUUAAAGUCCUACGCGAUCUGAGUUCAGACCGGAGUAAUCCAGGUCAGUUUCUAUCUAUGACAUGUUCUUUUCUAGUACGAAAGGACCGAAAAGAAAAGGCCUCUGCCCACAGCACGCCUCACCCCCACCUAGUGAAAACAACUAAAUUAGGCAUAAGGGCAUACCCCUGCCUGCCCAAGACAAUGGCAU
rnacentral:rRNA from 1 species